UACGAAGGGGGCUAGCGUUGUUCGGAAUUACUGGGCGUAAAGGGCGCGUAGGCGGUGUGUCAAGUCAGGCGUGAAAGCCCCGGGCUCAACCUGGGAACAGCGCUUGAGACUGGCACGCUCGAGUUCGGGAGAGGAUGGUGGAAUUCCCAGUGUAGAGGUGAAAUUCGUAGAUAUUCGCAAGAACACCAGUGGCGAAGGCGGCUCACUGGCCCGGGACUGACGCUGAGGUGCGAAAGCGUGGGGAGCAAACAGG
rnacentral:rRNA from 1 species